rnacentral:rRNA from 1 species
UGGGGAAUAUUGGACAAUGGGCGCAAGCCUGAUCCAGCCAUGCCGCGUGAGUGACGAAGGUCUUCGGAUUGUAAAGCUCUUUUGGCGGGGACGAUAAUGACGGUACCCGCAGAAUAAGCCCCGGCUAACUUCGUGCCAGCAGCCGCGGUAAUACGAAGGGGGCUAGCGUUGUUCGGAAUUACUGGGCGUAAAGCGCACGUAGGCGGACUGAUAAGUCAGGGGUGAAAUCCCGGGGCUCAACCUCGGAACUGCCUUUGAUACUGUUAGUCUCGAGUCCGGAAGAGGUGAGUGGAAUUCCUGGUGUAGCGGUGAAAUGCGUAGAUAUCAGGAGGAACACCCGUGGCGAAGGCGGAUCUCUGGACCGGUUCUGACGCUGAGGAGCGAAAGCUAGGGGAGCAAACAGGAUUAGAUACCCCCGUAGUCCCUGAGCGGGCUGGCAAGGCGCAU